UACGGAGGGUGCGAGCGUUGUCCGGAAUCACUGGGCGUAAAGGGCGCGUAGGCGGCCUGAUAAGUAGGGGGUGAAAUCCUGCGGCUUAACCGCAGGGCUGCCUUCUAAACUGUCAGGCUCGAGCACAGUAGAGGCAGGUGGAAUUCCCGGUGUAGCGGUGGAAUGCGUAGAGAUCGGGAAGAACAUCGGUGGCGAAGGCGGCCUGCUGGGCAGUUGCUGACACUGAGGCGCGACAGCGUGGGGAGCAAACAGG
rnacentral:rRNA from 1 species